rnacentral:rRNA from 1 species
UACGGGGGGGGGCAAGCGUUGUUCGGAAUUACUGGGCGUAAAGGGCUCGUAGGCGGCCAACUAAGUCAGACGUGAAAUCCCUCGGCUUAACCGGGGAACUGCAUCUGAUACUGGAUGGCUUGAGUUCGGGAGAGGGAUGUGGAAUUCCAGGUGUAGCGGUGAAAUGCGUAGAUAUCUGGAGGAACACCGGUGGCGAAGGCGGCAUCCUGGACCGACACUGACGCUGAUGAGCGAAAGCCAGGGGAGCAAACGGG